AGACCCACCUGGCAGAGGAGAUGCCAUGAUCAUGAAGGUGGUUUCCCAGGACGAGGCUUAGCCAUCGCACUCCAGAUGUGCUGGACCCUGCAAUUUUCUCAAAUGUAGAAAACUCGACUGCAUGGUUUGUGAUAGUGGGGAUUGCAUUUAUGCUCCCCG